rnacentral:piRNA from 1 species
UGAGCUGAAGCUAGAAAUGAUCUAAAAGACU